rnacentral:rRNA from 1 species
AUACGUAGGGAGCGAGCGUUGUCCGGAAUUACUGGGUGUAAAGGGAGCGUAGGCGGGACUGCAAGUCAGAUGUGAAAUACCGGGGCUUAACCCCGGAGCUGCAUUUGAAACUGUGGUUCUUGAGUGAAGUAGAGGCAAGCGGAAUUCCUGGUGUAGCGGUGAAAUGCGUAGAUAUCAGGAGGAACACCGGUGGCGAAGGCGGCUUGCUGGGCUUUUACUGACGCUGAGGGUCGAAAGCGUGGGUAGCAAACAGGAUUAGAUACCCUGGUAGUCCACGCUGUAAACGAUGAAUACUAGGUGUGGGGGGACUGACCCCUUCCGUGCCGCAGUUAACACAAUAAGUAUUCCACCUGGGGAGUACGGCCGCAAGGUUGAAACUCAAAUGAAUUGACGGGG